rnacentral:rRNA from 1 species
AAUUAUUGGGCGUAAAGGGCUCGUAGGCGGUUUGUCGCGUCGGGAGUGAAAACGCCGUGCUUAACACGGCGCUUGCUUCCGAUACGGGCAGACUAGAGGUAUCCAGGGGAGAACGGAAUUCCUGGUGUAGCGGUGAAAUGCGCAGAUAUCAGGAGGAACACCGGUGGCGAAGGCGGUUCUCUGGGAAUGACCUGACGCUGAGGAGUGAAAGUGUGGGGAGCGAACAGGAUUAGAUACCCUGGUAGUCCACACCGUAAACGUUGGGCGCUAGGUGUGGGGUCCAUUCCACGGAUUCCGUGCCGCAGCUAACGCAUUAAGCGCCCCGCCUGGGGAGUACGGCCGCAAGGCUAAAACUCAAAGGAAUUGACGGGGGCCCGCACAAGCGGCGGAGCAUGCGGAUUAAUUCGAUGCAACGCGAAGAACCUUACCUGGGUUUGACAUACACCCUGCCGCCUCAGAGAUGGGGCUUCUUUUGGGGGUGUACAGGUGGUGCAUGGCUGUCGUCAGCUCGUGUCGUGAGAUGUUGGGUUAAGUCCCGCAACGAGCGCAACCCUCGUUCUAUGUUGCCAGCACGUAAUGGUGGGGACUCAUAGGAGACUGCCGGGGUCAACUCGGAGGAAGGUGGGGAUGACGUCAAGUCAUCAUGCCCCUUAUGUCCAGGGCUUCACGCAUGCUACAAUGGCCGGUACAAAGGGCUGCGAUCCCGUAAGGGGGAGCGAAUCCCAAAAAGCCGGUCUCAGUUCGGAUUGGGGUCUGCAACUCGACCCCAUGAAGUCGGAGUCGCUAGUAAUCGCAGAUCAGCAACGCUGCGGUGAAUACGCUCCCGGGCCUUGUACACACCGCCCGUCACGUCACGAAAGUCGGCAAUACCCGAAGCCGGUGGCCCAACCCUUGUGGAGGGAGCCGUCGAAGGUGGGGCUGGA